GACGAACGCUGGCGGCGCGCCUAACACAUGCAAGUCGAACGAGAGAGAGGAAGCUUGCUUCCUCAAUCGAGUGGCGAACGGGUGAGUAACGCGUGAGGAACCUGCCUCAAAGAGGGGGACAACAGUUGGAAACGACUACUAAUACCGCAUAAGCCCACAGCUCGGCAUCGAGCAGAGGGAAAAGGAGCAAUCCGCUUUGAGAUGGCCUCGCGUCCGAUUAGCUAGUUGGUGAGGUAAUGGCCCACCAAGGCGACGAUCGGUAGCCGGACUGAGAGGUUGAACGGCCACAUUGGGACUGAGACACGGCCCAGACUCCUACGGGAGGCAGCAGUGGGGAAUAUUGCACAAUGGGGGAAACCCUGAUGCAGCGACGCCGCGUGGAGGAAGAAGGUCUUCGGAUUGUAAACUCCUGUUGUUGAGGAAGAUAAUGACGGUAC
rnacentral:rRNA from 1 species